ACAAGCGAGAGAGAGAGAGAGAGAGAGAGAGAGAGAGAUAAAUACAGAACCUUGGAGCAGAUGGAAAGAUAAGACCCGUCAGUCUCACUAUCACCACUCCACCCUGCAGCUCAGAGCAACCAACAACCGAUCAGUGAGAGUGGAAAUAUUACAUCAACUUUUCAUGGAUGUAGUAAUUAUCAUAUCUUCUUGAGUUUCAGAGGCGAAGAUACUUGCAAGACUUUUACCGACCACCGCUCCAUAGCCUUGGUCAACGCCAUGUAAGCCGUGGGUGAAGAAUCUUAAAGGCGUAGCUUUUGAUGGAGAAGAUGUUGGAUGAAACCAAUUGUGAAGUUCUUCGGCAUAAAGUAGAUUGGAGAACCAUAUAAAGAAAAACGUACUAAUCUUUCUUUCUGCCUCCGAUCCCACUUUGUUUCGUCAGAAAAUGGAACUUAGAAUGAAGUCUAUGAACGCAUCUUUGGUGAGUGAGGCAUCUUUCAUUGGACUAGUUGAUAAGAAAAAACACAAAGAUGCAACCCUUCAAGCAAUAGAGGACACAGAAAGCAACUCAUUCUUUGGUAAGGAUGAACACAUCGUUGGAAGAAAGGAGGAAGUAUCAAGUAUAGUUGCAACCUUGAUUAUCUCCAACAGUCAAGAAAGUAUUUUGGUUAUUGUAGGAAUGGGUGGUGUAGGAAAGAUAACUUCGGAUGGGUUAGUGUACAAUGAACCUGACCGAGAAAAGAUAUGUCGUCGUCCUUGAUGACAUUUGGAACAAAAAUGAACAAAAAUGGAAUAGUUUGAUGAGUUGUUUGUCAAAACUCUAUUUCGCUCGGGGGGGAUCACCAAGAUUGUCACUAAACCUUCUAUGAAACAAUGUUUUGCAUAUUGCUCAAUGUUCAUGAAAGAUUUUAAUUGGUGAGUUGAAACACUUGAGGUAUUUGGAUGUUUCUAGAACCAGUAUCAAAGCACUUUUCAAUUCUAUUGGAAAAUUUUGUAAUCUACAAACAUUGAGGAUGACAUAUUGUUUCUCACUUGAAGAGUUUCCAAAGAAAUUGCAAAAUUUGAUCAACUUGAGGCACAUUUAGUUUGAUGGACAUAUGAGAUUUCAUGUUGGUGUGGGGUGACCAACUAAUCUCCAAAUAUUAUCUUAAGUUACAGUAAUGGGAGGGGUUGAGAAAUAUGUGCAACAUGAAGAAGCAUUGAAAGAAAAUUUAGUGGGAAAGACAAGCAUAUACAUUUGAAGAUUUGUAAGGGACACAAAUAGUCUAAGGACCGACAAGGAGGAUAAUGUAUGAGCAAGGAGACAGGGGCUUUGUUUCCAGUCUUGAAGACAUUCAAAUUAGUGAAUGGGCCACAGAACCCCAUCUCUCCUGAGGAUUUGAAGAUAACUUAGUGAAUUGAGGGUUGAAGCAUGUGAUCGAUUCACGAGUCUACCAGUGAACCAGAAUCCCAUACUUCCUAUGACUCAGAAUUUACUGUAUUCCAGAUGACAGAGAAUACAUGAUAUGGUUAAACCAUUGGAAGUUGGAGAAUCACUAGAAGGUGGCGACACAGUGGUUGUUUGAGAACCUCCGAUUCAGGUAAAGGAGUGUGGCAUCCAGCUAAUAGUGCAGGAGGAAGAAGAGAAUAUUAAUACGCAACAUGACACCAGGGAUCCUUCUUAUGCAAGUGUCAUUGAUGGAGAUUUGGCUCAAGACGAGCCAGGAACAUACUUGUUCUUCCCUAGAUGGAAGCCAAUAACAGAUCUGAUUUGGUUCGAUAAUCUCUUUGGGGCCUCUGAUGAAGAUACAGGUGUGGUGUUUACUAACACAUUUUAUUUUACUCCAACUAUUUCUGAACAAAAGAGAGAAUAUAAAACAAUGACACCCCAGAUAAAUUAGCAUCAUGAUGUAUUUUUAUUUUAAUCUAAGCUGUUGAUAGUUAAUGCAACAUGCCUGAAACACUUCUGUUUCAUUUCAAAAGAUUUCCUCUAGUGUUUGGGAAUUUUUCUUUUAUUUGUAUAUGUUUUUAAGAGAACAGCAACCGGAUGAUCAAAAGCUUGUUUAUCAA